rnacentral:tRNA from 1 species
AGGCAACUUAGCCGAGCGGUUAAGGCGAUAGUUUUAGGUCAUUAGGUGAUUUACUAGUUUAAAAGAGCGAGAGUUUAAAUCUCUUUAGUUGUCA